rnacentral:pre_miRNA from 1 species
AAAGUACUCCCUCCGUCCCAAAAUUCUUGUCUUAGAUUUGUCUAGAUACGGAUGUAUCAAGUCACAUUUUAGUAUUAGAUACAUCCAUAUCUAGACAAAUUUAAGACAAGAAAUUUGGGACAAAGGGAGUAGUUG